CUACGGGUUGCUGCAGUGAGGAAUAUUGCACAAUGGGGGGAACCCUGAUGCAGCAACGCCGCGUGGAGGAUGACACAUUUCGGUGUGUAAACUCCUUUUAUAUGUCAAGAAAAUGACGGUAGCAUAUGAAUAAGCACCGGCUAACUCCGUGCCAGCAGCCGCGGUAAUACGGAGGGUGCAAGCGUUACUCGGAAUCACUGGGCGUAAAGGACGCGUAGGCGGGUUGGAAAGUCAGGUGUGAAAUCCUACAGCUUAACUGUAGAACUGCACUUGAAACUUCUAAUCUAGAGUAUGGGAGGGGGAGAUGGAAUUAGUGGUGUAGGGGUAACAUCCGUAGAUAUCACUAGGAAUACCUAAAGCGAAGGCGAUCUCCUGGAACAUUACUGACGCUAAGGCGUGAAAGCGUGGGGAGCAAACAGGAUUAGAUACCCUAGUAGUC
rnacentral:rRNA from 1 species